GACGAACGCUGGCGGCGUGCCUAAUACAUGCAAGUUGAGCGCUGAAGGUUGGUACUUGUACCCACUGGAUGAGCAGCGAACGGGUGAGUAACGCGUGGGGAAUCUGCUUUUGAGCGGGGGACAACAUUUGGAAACGAAUGCUAAUACCGCAUAAAAACUUUAACCACAAGUUUUAAGUUUGCAAGAUGCAAUUGCAUCACUCAAAGCUGAUUCCGCGUUGUAUUAGCUAGGUGGGGAGGUAAAGGCUCACCAAGGCGAUGGUACCUAGCCGACCUGAGAGGGUGAUCGACCACAAUGGGACUGGGACAACGCCCAAACUCCCACCGGGAGCAACAAGAGGGGAACUUUGGCAAAGGACGAAAGGCUUACCGAACAACGCCGCGGUGGGUAAGGAAGGUUUCGGGUCGGAAAACUCCGUUUGUAGGGAAGAACGAUGAGGAGAGUGAAAAGCUCAUCAAGUGACGGUAACUACCCAGAAAGGGACGGCUAACUACGUG
rnacentral:rRNA from 1 species